CCCAGGGCCGCCAGGCCUGGCGGGGGAAGGGAAGGGCCGCGUGUGGCGUUGCCUCCCCCCGCGGCCCACACUCUCCCGCAGGCAUGGGGGGCAGCCAGAGGGGCCCCCGUGCCAUCACCCAAAACCCUGGGGCAUCAGGGCCCGCCUAGGGAAAAGGAUCCCCUUUUAAAAGGGGAUCCUGAAAUCCAUUACCCCCCCUGCUAUCCUUUGGGAACCCUGUCGUGGGGGGGGAGGCCAAAGGCCCCAGGCUUACCUUUUGGAGCGAGGAAGUCCAGCAACGUCCUUCCUGAAGAAGCUCUGGAGCCAAGUGAGGAUUCCCAGGUAAGAUCCUCCCUCUAUUGUGUGGGCAGGUAAUCCCUCCCCUACCUGGCCUGGUCUCCUUGGCAACGCUUCCCCCAGGUGGGAUUGGACAACUGACUGAGGUAGGCGGAGACCUCCAGUUAUCCCACCUGAGGGAAGGCAAACCAAGCCUAUGCUGUUGGAGCCGCUCCAAAUCUAGGGGCUGUGCGCGUCCACGCAAAGGGCGCCCCCCGUUUUAAGCAGGGAGCGGUCAUUACCUUAGUGACACUUUGGUUGCACAAACCAUAGGUUGCCCAGACACCAGAAUCUGGAAGCACAGAGUGUGAACGCCUCCAGGUUCCUUCAGAACAGUGGUACUUAUCAAUUUGGCUCUUAAGACAGGGGUAGCCAAUGUGGUACCCUGCAGAUGCUUUUGGAUUUCAGUUCCCUUCAGCCUCAGCUAGCACAGCCAGUGGUCAGGGUACAAUAACAUCUGCAGGGUUCCACAUUGGCGACGCCAUCAUAAGGACUCUCUUUUAGCUUGCAUUUCUGCCUGAUCACUGAAGUCUUCAGGAGACUCGCUAUUGCUCAGACCUAUGGCUUGCAUCAAGCUGGAUGUUGUUUGCAUCCAUCUGUCGAGGGGGGGGGGAGAGCAUCUGGGUGGAGGCCCAGAUGACAAGACCCUUCCUGGCCUCACUGUUGUGGUCAAAAGGAAAGCAGAGCAAUACAUUUGGCACCAGCUGGCUGCAGAAGUUGCUGGAAGGUUCCACCCAACUGUUUUAGGAAAUCCAGAUUUUUGUAGGGUUUACUCCUUAGCCUUUUCUCUCCUGAAAGGUAUCUUGCAAGGCAUCUGCAACCAUGCAUUCGGCAUUGUAGGACUGAUUGUUUGGAUCUCCCUCCUGGCUGAUAUCAGAUAAGCCCCAUCUCUGCUGAAUUUCUGGUGCUUGGAUGAGACAUCUUUUUGUUUCAGCUGCCAUUUCAAAUACGUUUUUUUCUGAUUUCAUGGUUAAUUCUACCUGAUUUUAUUAUGCAUGCUGUACCCCUAUUAGACACUGCUUAGAAAUGAAGGUAAUUAUAUACCACAUUGCUCUGAAUAUAGGCCAUACUUUUCUCCCUUUUAUAAAACCAGAGUGCAGCCUAUACUCAGAUUCUUAUGGAUGGAGAAGCCGUCAUUUAAGAGAUCUCAUUUUAGGGGCACAGACUACAUUUGGGUUCAGCUGGUAUUCAGACCAAUAGAGUAAAUUAUUAAGAUAAAUGCUUUAGAAAAACAAUGUAGAUGAAUUUAUAAUAGUCACUCAUGUUUUCACCUGUAUGGAAGAUAAAUCAUCCCCAAGUGGCC